AGAGUUUGAUCCUGGCUCAGGACGAACGCUGGCGGCGUGCCUAACACAUGCAAGUCGCACGGGCCUGGGGGCAACUCCAGGUCAGUGGCGAACGGGUGCGUAACACGUGAGCAACCUGCCCUCAGGUGGGGGAUAGCCGGCCCAACGGCCGGGUAAUACCGCAUACGACCCCGGGGCCACAUGACCCUGGGGUGAAAGCGGCCGCAAGGUCGCGCCGGAAGAGGGGCUCGCGGCCUAUCAGCUAGUUGGCGAGGUAAUGGCUCACCAAGGCGACGACGGGUAGCUGGUCUGAGAGGAUGGCCAGCCACAUUGGGACUGAGAAACGGCCCAGACUCCUACGGGAGGCAGCAGUGGGGAAUAUCGCGCAAUGGCCGAAAGGCUGACGCAGCGACGCCGCGUGUGGGAUGAAGGCCUUCGGGUUGUAAACCACUGUCGGGGGGGGCGAAUACUUGGGCCUCGUAAGGGGAUCCAGGGGUGACGGUACCCCCAAAGGAAGCACCGGCUAACUCCGUGCCAGCAGCCGCGGUAAUACGGAGGGUGCGAGCGUUGUCCGGAAUCACUGGGCGUAAAGGGCGCGUAGGCGGUUUGGUAAGUCACUUGUGAAAUCCCGGUGCUCAACGCCGGGGCUGCAGGUGAGACUGUCAGACUGGAGCUCGGUAGAGGCGAGUGGAAUUCCCGGUGUAGCGGUGGAAUGCGUAGAUAUCGGGAAGAACACCGGUGGCGAAGGCGGCUCGCUGGGCCGAUGCUGACGCUGAGGCGCGAAAGCGUGGGGAGCAAACAGGAUUAGAUACCCCCGUAGUCC
rnacentral:rRNA from 1 species